GUCUGAAGCAAGGCUGGCGGGAUGAGGCAGCCAGGGUCCCUGCAUGCCUUCCCUUCCCCCUACCUCGGUUGGCUGAACUGUGGGCAAGGUCACUCACUACUCCAGCCCUUUGCUCCCCUCUACAGAGAGGGUCGGUGCUGUUGUGCAGAACUGCUGUCUAGAGAGAGCCCAGCGUCAGUACCAUGAGAGUCUGGCUUGCGAGCCUGUUCCUCUGCGCCUUGGUGGCGCACUCUGAAGGUGGCAGUGAACUUGGAGCUUCUGAUGAAUCAAACUGUGGCUGUCAGAACGGAGGAGUAUGUGUGUCCUACAAGUACUUCUCCAGCAUUCGAAGAUGCAGCUGCCCAAAGAAAUUCAAAGGGGAGCACUGUGAGAUAGAUACAU
rnacentral:lncRNA from 1 species